ACUAGCGCGAUGUGCUAUUGAAACUGCUAAUAUACACAUCGGUGGCAGGAGACUCGCUUGUUAGAGGCAAACAGUGUGGAAAGGCUGAUGCCCGCAGAUGCUGCAGUUUCACGGACACUGAUAUCAAUGCGUUUCCUUUCUGUCAGCCCUUCCUGUCUACUGUUGUCAUGAAGCGAUUAUCAGCAGAACAACAGAGCCUCCAAGAUGAAGACGUGGCGGUUGAUCUACCUGAAUAAUUCCUGGAACUGUCAUCAGCUCACACAGCGCUUUUAUUAAUUUUAUUUAGAAGUUGAAAUUGUUCUCGAAGAGUAGCUAAACUGACCUUUGAGGGGUCAGUACCCGGUGUUCCUGAAUAAUAAAGGUAACCGUCGGGAAGCUGUGGAGUGCGGCUGCAGUCAUCGUGAGGGCUCCCUCCCGCUUACAACACUCUCAGAACCACGACGAAGCAAACGGCACUACCGAAUAAUUGUGCUCUGCGAAUCCACGGCGGUUACUUCGCUCCGAAUUCCAAGAUUCGGUUCUCAUCACGGUGGCGGAUUUGCGACGGGCUCAUCUCUCAUCCAAGGAGACCUAGCGAGUGUCUUAGAGUAGGAAACUGAAUUGAAACUAAAAGUUACACGGAUGUCUUAUGCUCCAAGUGGAAGCAACAGGAAUAGAAGAAGAGGAAGAAGAAGAUACCUUCAUUAACUUUAUCGAAGCGCCCCUGCGGGAUCUGUCUUCAGGAA